rnacentral:rRNA from 1 species
UAUCAAUAAGCGGAGGAAAAGAAACCAACAGGGAUUGCCUCAGUAACGGCGAGUGAAGCGGCAACAGCUCAAAUUUGAAAUCUGGCCGUAAGGUCCGAGUUGUAAUUUGUAGAGGAUGUUUUGGGCACCGCUGUGGGUUAAAUUUCUUGGAACAGAAUGUCAAAGAGGGUGAGAGUCCCGUCUUGGCCCGCGGUAGGACCUAUGUAAAACUCCUUCGACGAGUCGACUUGUUUGGGAAUGCAGGUCAAAAUGGGUGGUAAAUUUCAUCUAAAGCUAAAUAUUGGCCAGAGACCGAUAGCGCACAAGUAGAGUGAUCGAAAGAUGAAAAGCACUUUGAAAAGAGAGUUAAACAGUAUGUGAAAUUGUUGAAAGGGAAGCGCUGGCAACCAGACUCGAGCGCGGUGUUCCCCCUGGCUUCUGCCUGGGUUAUUUCACCGUGACCGGGCCAUCAUCAGUUUUGAGGGUUGGUUAAAGACUUGGGGAAUGUACCCACUCCUUCGGGGGUGGACUUAUAGCCCUAGGUGUCAUGCAACCUCUCGGGACUGAGGAACGCGCUUCGGCGAGGAUGAUGGCGUAAUGGUUGUCAGCGACCCGUCUUGAAACACGGACCAAGGAGUCUAACAUCUAUGCGAGUGUUCGGGUGUCAAACCCUUGCGCGGAAUGAAAGUGAACGGAGGUAGGAAGGUGUAACAACCUGCACUAUCGACCGAUCCUGAUGUCUUCGGAUGGAUUUGAGUAAGAGCAUAGCUGUUGGGACCCGAAAGAUGGUGAACUAUGCGUGAAUAGGGUGAAGCCAGAGGAAACUCUGGUGGAGGCUCGCAGCGG